rnacentral:tRNA from 1 species
AUUUAAAUAAUUUAAUAGUUAAAAUAUUGAUUUGUGGGAUCAAAAAUAUGAAUAAUAAUCAUUUUAAAUU